GGGGGCGUACAGGUUUCGACGGGGGUUUGGAGUCUUUAGUAGCGAGCCGUGUUUUGCUUGGUAACACGUCAAAAACUGGGCAUUAAAUAUAAACGCAAACGAUAAUUACGCUUUAGCUGCCUAAUUGCGCAGCUCGUUUCUACUAGACCUCCCACAGUCUAACUAGAAACGUCAUAACUAGUGGGGAACGUCUUAAGGGGUGCCUUGACCUUAAGUUGUACAAUGAGGGCUGGUCGAAUCCAUACUAUGUUGCUGGAGGAUGGAGGAGACGAGAUUCAAAACAGUAACUGCGCUCGGAGAAGCUAAUGGUAAAGGGCCUUCGGACAGGGGUUCGAUUCCCCUCGCCUCCACCA
rnacentral:tmRNA from 1 species